UACGUAGGCGGCAAGCGUUGUCCGGAUUUACUGGGCGUAAAGGGCGUGCAGGCGGUCUGUUAAGUGCAGGGUGAAAGCUCCCGGCUCAACUGGGAGAGGUCCUUGCAUACUGGCGGACUUGAGGGGGGUAGAGGAAAGUGGAAUUCCCGGUGUAGUGGUGAUAUGCGUAGAUAUCGGGAGGAACACCUGUGGCGAAGGCGGCUUUCUGGGCCCUACCUGACGCUGAGACGCGAAAGCGUGGGGAGCGAACCGG
rnacentral:rRNA from 1 species